rnacentral:tRNA from 1 species
GGGCCGUUAGCUCAGUUGGUAGAGCAACUGACUCUUAAUCAGUUGGUCGUAGGUUCGAACCCUACACGGCUCACCA